rnacentral:rRNA from 1 species
AAUAUUGGGCGUAAAGAGCUCGUAGGCGGUUUGUCGCGUCUGCCGUGAAAGUCCGGGGCUCAACUCCGGAUCUGCGGUGGGUACGGGCAGACUAGAGUGAUGUAGGGGAGACUGGAAUUCCUGGUGUAGCGGUGAAAUGCGCAGAUAUCAGGAGGAACACCGAUGGCGAAGGCAGGUCUCUGGGCAUUAACUGACGCUGAGGAGCGAAAGCAUGGGGAGCGAACAGGAUUAGAUACCCUGGUAGUCCAUGCCGUAAACGUUGGGCACUAGGUGUGGGGGACAUUCCACGUUUUCCGCGCCGUAGCUAACGCAUUAAGUGCCCCGCCUGGGGAGUACGGCCGCAAGGCUAAAACUCAAAGGAAUUGACGGGGGCCCGCACAAGCGGCGGAGCAUGCGGAUUAAUUCGAUGCAACGCGAAGAACCUUACCAAGGCUUGACAUGGGCCGGACCGGGCUGGAAACAGUCCUUCCCCUUUGGGGCCGGUUCACAGGUGGUGCAUGGUUGUCGUCAGCUCGUGUCGUGAGAUGUUGGGUUAAGUCCCGCAACGAGCGCAACCCUCGUUCCAUGUUGCCAGCGCGUAAUGGCGGGGACUCAUGGGAGACUGCCGGGGUCAACUCGGAGGAAGGUGGGGAGGACGUCAAAUCAUCAUGCCCCUUAUGUCUUGGGCUUCACGCAUGCUACAAUGGCCGGUACAAAGGGUUGCGAUACUGUGAGGUGGAGCUAAUCCCAAAAAGCCGGUCUCAGUUCGGAUUGGGGUCUGCAACUCGACCCCAUGAAGUCGGAGUCGCUAGUAAUCGCAGAUCAGCAACGCUGCGGUGAAUACGUUCCCGGGCCUUGUACACACCGCCCGUCAAGUCACGAAAGUUGGUAAC